CAGGAACCACAUGGCCAACAACAAGAGGAAGUAGAGUAAGGGCUGUGAUCUAGAAACAGAGUCCUGUUAGACUUGUGUACAGUCUAGAAUGAGGUGCAAAACUGAUUAGCAACACCAAAAUGCAGAUUUAUUUGUUUAUUUUUAUUUGAAUUCAAUUAAUUAACAUACAGAGCAUAAUUAGUUUCAGAGGUAUGGUUCAGUGAUUGAUCAGUCUUCUAUAACACCCAAUGCUCAUUACAUCACAUGUCCUCCUUAAUGUUCAUCACUUGCUACCCCAUCCCCUCCAACGUCCUUCCCUCCGGCAACCCUCCAUUUGUUUCCUAUGAUUAAGAGCCUCUAAUGGUUUGUCUCCCUCUCUGAUUUCAUCUUGUUUUAUUUUUUUCUCCCUUCCCCUAUGCUCCUCUGUUUUGUUUCUUAAAUUCCACAUGAGUGAGAUCAUAUGAUAAUUGUCUUUCUCUGAUUAACUUAAUUUGCUUAGCAUAAUACCCUCUAGUUCCAUCCACAUUGUUGCAAAUGGCAAGUUUUCAUUUUUAUUGAUGGCUGAGUAGUAGUGCAUUGUGUGUGUGUGUGUGUGUGUGUGUAUACCACAUCUUCUUUACUUCUUUAUUCAUUUACCUGUUGAUGGACAUCUGGGCUUUUUCCAUGGUUUGGCUAUUGUGGAUGUUGCUGCUAUAAACAUUGGGAUGCAGGUGCCUUUCAGAUCACUACAUCUGUUAUCUUUGGAGUAAAUACCCCGUAGUGCAAUUGCUGCUAUUUUCAACUUUUUGAAGAACUUUCUCACUGUUUUCCAGAAUGGCUGCACCAGCUUGCAUUCCCACCAAUGGGCAAAACACGUAUUUAAAACAGAUUGUGCCAGCACUGAAGAACCAGAAUAAAGACCUGUCGAAGGAGGCAACAGAGAUCAUCCUUUCACUGAAAGAGACUUUCAAAGCUACGAUAUACCCCCCAACGUGGCAGAGGAUGAAGAAUGUGGCACCUACAUGCACCACAAACCAUAUAUGGUGAGCCAUGACCAGACUUCUCCCCCACAGAAAAUUUGAAAUAUUAAAUGUAUCUUAUUUUAAACUAUUAAAUUUCUGAUAAUGAGCUACCGAGCAAUAGAAAACUAAUACAGUAUCCAAAAGAAUGUAUGUAGUAGGUUGGAAUUCCUAGGUCGCUCAGUGGGUCAAGGCUCUGACACUUGAUUUUAUGCUCAGGUCAUGAUCUCAGGGAUGUGUGAAUGAGCCCCUACUUGGGCUCCACGCUGGGCAUGGAGCCUGUUUAAGAUUCUGUCUUCCCCAGCCCUCUCUGCCCACCCACCACUCCCAUCUCUAACUCUCAUUCUCUGGGAAAAAAAAUGUGGCAGAAAUGUGUAUUAGAUGUAUCAGGUAGAGAGAUGUCUUGGGACAUUAUUUAAUUAACUAACUUCUUAAAUGGAUUCUGCGAUGUGUCUGGUGUUCUUUAGACUUUCAGAAUUUUUAGUUUGUUAUUAUUUUUUUAUUCAUUCCAACCUCCAGUCAGUGAUUUAUUAGCUUUUAGCUAGUAACUAAGAUCUGAAUAAAGUGUCUGGCACAUGGUGAGUUGUUAGAAAU
rnacentral:lncRNA from 12 species